rnacentral:rRNA from 1 species
GGCGGCAGGCUUAACACAUGCAAGUCGAGCGGUAGCAGAUCUAGCUUGCUAGAUGCUGACGAGCGGCGGACGGGUGAGUAACGCGUAGGAACCUGCCCAGUAGUGGGGGAUAGCCCGGGGAAACUCGGAUUAAUACCGCAUACGCUCUACGGAGGAAAGAGGGGGCUUCGGCUCUCGCUAUUGGAUGGGCCUGCGUGAGAUUAGCUAGUUGGUGAGGUAAUGGCUCACCAAGGCGACGAUCUCUAGCUGGUCUGAGAGGAUGAUCAGCCACACUGGGACUGAGACACGGCCCAGACUCCUACGGGAGGCAGCAGUGGGGAAUAUUGCACAAUGGGCGCAAGCCUGAUGCAGCCAUGCCGCGUGUGUGAAGAAGGCUUUCGGGUUGUAAAGCACUUUCAGUGGGGAGGAAGGCCUCGUAGUUAAUAGCUGCGAGGAUUGACGUUACCCACAGAAGAAGCACCGGCUAACUCCGUG